GACAGAGGUGCCGAGCGUUAGGCGGAAUCACUGGGCUUAAAGCGUGUGUAGGCGGAUGGGUAAGUACCUUGUGAAAUCCCUCGGCUCAACCGAGGAACUGCGCUCAAAACUACCCGACUCGAGGGAGAUAGAGGAAAGCGGAACUGAUGGUGGAGCGGUGAAAUGCGUUGAUAUCAUCAGGAACACCGGUGGCGAAGGCGGCUUUCUGGGUCUUACCUGACGCUGAGGAACGAAAGCUAGGGGAGCGAACGGG
rnacentral:rRNA from 1 species